UACGUAGGGUGCAAGCGUUGUCCGGAAUUAUUGGGCGUAAAGGGCUCGUAGGCGGUUUGUCGCGUCGGGAGUGAAAUCCACUGGCUUAACUGGUGGCUUGCUUUCGAUACGGGCAGACUGGAGGUAUGCAGGGGAGAACGGAAUUCCUGGUGUAGCGGUGAAAUGCGCAGAUAUCAGGAGGAACACCGGUGGCGAAGGCGGUUCUCUGGGCAUGUCCUGACGCUGAGGAGCGGAAGUGUGGGGAGCGAACAGG
rnacentral:rRNA from 1 species